UGGGGAAUAUUGCACAAUGGGCGCAAGCCUGAUGCAGCCAUGCCGCGUGUGUGAAGAAGGCCUUCGGGUUGUAAAGCACUUUCAGCGAGGAGGAAGGUGGUGAGCUUAAUACGCUCAUCAAUUGACGUUACUCGCAGAAGAAGCACCGGCUAACUCCGUGCCAGCAGCCGCGGCAAUACGGAGGGUGCAAGCGUUAAUCGGAAUUACUGGGCGUAAAGCGCACGCAGGCGGUUUGUUAAGUCAGAUGUGAAAUCCCCGGGCUCAACCUGGGAACUGCAUUUGAAACUGGCAAGCUAGAGUCUCGUAGAGGGGGGUAGAAUUCCAGGUGUAGCGGUGAAAUGCGUAGAGAUCUGGAGGAAUACCGGUGGCGAAGGCGGCCCCCUGGACGAAGACUGACGCUCAGGUGCGAAAGCGUGGGGAGCAAACAGGAUUAGAUACCCUGGUAGUCCACGCUGUAAACGAUGUCGAUUUUGGAGGUUGUGCCCUUGAGGCGUGGCUUCCGGAGCUAACGCGUUAAAUCGACCGCCUGGGGAGUACGGCCGCAAGGUUAAAACUCAAAUGAAUUGACGGGGUCAUAGCUG
rnacentral:rRNA from 1 species